AUGGAGUUUGUGCUGGGCUGGGGGUUCCUGGUUGCUCUUUUAAAAGGUGUCCAGUGUGACGUGCAGCUGGUGGAGUCUGGAGGAGACCUGGUGAAGCCUGGGGGGUCCCUGAGACUCACCUGUGUGGCCUCUGGAUUCACCUUCAGUAGCUCUUGGAUGAGCUGGGUCCGCCAGGCUCCAGGGAAGGGGCUGCAGUGGGUCGCAUAUAUUAAUACUGAUGGAAGUAGCACAAACUACGCAGACUCCGUGAAGGGCCGAUUCACCAUCUCCAGAGACAACUCCAAGAACACGCUCUAUCUGCAGAUGAACAACCUGAAGUCUGAGGACACGGCCACAUACUACUGUGCAAGAGACAGGGUGAGGGGACCUCACUGGGAGCCUAGACACAAACCUCCCUGCAGGAGGGGAUCAGCACCACCAGGGGGCGCACACUAUGCACAAUUCUGCUUUGUGUUGCCAGGAGCAGGUGCAGAUGGAGGUUACAGGCAGGAAAACUACCCUAACAUGCACAUAGACACAGUUGUUUGCACUUUCUUCCUCCGGUCCCUGAACAUGAGUGAAUUACAGAUUUCUUGA